GAUGAACGCUGGCGGCGUGCUUAACACAUGCAAGUCGAACGGAACUGCUUUAUUACCGCGGGCUGCCACUGACCGAUAAGGGGGUGAGUCACGAGAGGGUGCGCAACACGUGGGCAACCUGCCCCAAAGAGGGGGAUAAUACUUCGAAACAGGUGCUCAUGCCGCAUAGCGAUCGUUAGAGCAUGGUCACUAUGUGAAAGGUAGCUAUGCUUCCGCAGUUGGUUGGGGCGGUGGCGCAUUAGCUAGUUGGUAGGGUAAAGGCUUACCAAGCGGAUGAUGCGUAGCCGAAGGGAGAGGUGGAUCGGCGACAUUGGGACUGAGACACGGCCCAGACUCCUACGGGAGGCAGCAGUGGGGAAUGUUCGACAAUGGGGGAAAACCUGAUGGAGCCAGGCCGCGUGUGUGAAGAAGGCCUUCGGAUCGUAAAACCCUGUUGUUAGGGAAGAAAGUCUUUGGGCUAAUACGAUGAGGGGUUGACGGUACCGGAUAAAGAAGCACCGGCUAACUACGUG
rnacentral:rRNA from 1 species